rnacentral:rRNA from 1 species
UACAGAGGUCCCAAGCGUUGUUCGGAUUCACUGGGCGUAAAGGGUGCGUAGGCGGUCGGGUAAGUCUGGCGUGAAAUCUCCAAGCCUAACUUGGAAACUGCGUUGGAUACUAUCCGGCUCGAGGAAUGGAGGGGAGACUGGAAUACUUGGUGUAGCAGUGAAAUGCGUAGAUAUCGUUUGGAACGCCAAUGGUGAAAACAGGCGACUGGGGUUGAGCUGACGCUGAGACACGAAAGCCAGGGGAGCGAACGGG